GAUGAACGCUGGCGGCGUGCUUAACACAUGCAAGUCGAGCGAAGCGCUUUUGCGGAUUUCUUCGGAUUGAAGCAAUUGUGACUGAGCGGCGACGGGUGAGUAACGCGUGGGUAACCUGCCUCAUACAGGGGGAUAACAGUUGGAAACGGCUGCUAAUACCGCAUAAGCGCACAGUGCUGCAUGGCACAGUGUGAAAAACUCCGGUGGUAUGAGAUGGACCCGCGUCUGAUUAGCUAGUUGGUGGGGUAACGGCCUACCAAGGCGACGAUCAGUAGCCGGCCUGAGAGGGUGAACGGCCACAUUGGGACUGAGACACGGCCCAA
rnacentral:rRNA from 1 species